GGGCCCGCACAAGCGGUGGAGCAUGUGGUUUAAUUCGAUGCAACGCGAAGAACCUUACCAAGCCUUGACAUCCUCGGAACUUUCCAGAAAUGGAUUGGUGCCUUCGGGAACCGAGUGACAGGUGCUGCAUGGCUGUCGUCAGCUCGUGUCGUGAGAUGUUGGGUUAAGUCCCGUAACGAGCGCAACCCUUGUCCUUAGUUGCCAGCACUUCGGGUGGAACUCUAAGGAGACUGCCGGUGACAAACCGGAGGAAGGUGGGACGACGUCAAGUCAUCAUGGCCCUUACGGCUUGGGCUACACACGUGCUACAAUGGCAAGUACAGACGGCUGCUAACCCGCGAGGGGAGCUAAUCCCAAAAAGUGUUCCUCAGUUCGGAUUGCAGGCUGAAAUUCGCCUGCAUGAAGCCGGAAUCGCUAGUAA
rnacentral:rRNA from 1 species